rnacentral:rRNA from 1 species
GUCUACUGCCAUACGACUUUGAACGUGCCUCAUGUUGGAAGCUAAGCAGGGUCAGGCCUGGUUAGAUUUGGUAUGGGAGACCACAUGGGCAUACCAGGUGCUGUAGAGU